rnacentral:rRNA from 1 species
CCAGAGAACUUAGCAGAGAUGCUUUGGUGCCUUCGGGAACUCUGAGACAGGUGCUGCAUGGCUGUCGUCAGCUCGUGUUGNGUAAAUGUUGGGUUAAGUCCCGCAACGAGCGCAACCCUUAUCCUUUGUUGCCAGCGAUUCGGUCGGGAACUCAAAGGAGACUGCCGGUGAUAAACCGGAGGAAGGUGGGGAUGACGUCAAGUCAUCAUGGCCCUUACGGCCAGGGCUACACACGUGCUACAAUGGCGCAUACAAAGAGAAGCGACCUCGCGAGAGCAAGCGGACCUCAUAAAGUGCGUCGUAGUCCGGAUUGGAGUCUGCAACUCGACUCCAUGAAGUCGGAAUCGCUAGUAAUCGUAGAUCAGAAUGCUACGGUGAAUACGUUCCCGGGCCUUGUACACACCGCCCGUCACACCAUGGGAGUGGGUUGCAAAAGAAGUAGGUAGCUUAACCUUCGGGAGGGCGCUUACCACUUUGUGAUUCAUGACUGGGGUGAAGUCGUAACAAGGUAGGCGUAGAUGA